CUUUGUCUGUUGUCCUCUCGUUUCUCCUAAGAAUAUCCGGGGAUGUUGAGAUUCCUUUUGCUAUGUUACCUAGUGGCAAUUGGGGUGCUUGUUGUGGUGAUUGUGUUUGCUUCUCCGGCUACAAAGAUGAAGCUUUCUGAGUUGCUUCCGGCUGGAACACUUUGAAGUGUGGUGUUCCAUAUGGGUCCUCCACUGUGAGUUCUGGGAAGAAGGGGAUACUGUUGAAAAUUUGGUUGAUCCUCACUUGGAUGGGCACUUCUCUAUUUGUGUUUGAGUUUUCUGGGUGGAUCUGCUCCAUGGCUGACUGUCAUAUUUGGGCACCAAGCAUCCCCAAGCCCUUGUUUAGUGCUUUUGUUGUGACCCUUACUAGGUGGGCUGGAUUCUGGAAGAUUAAGUACAUUAGUUGUUCGCCCAGUUGAAAAUCGUAGCUCAGGGCUUGCCCAUGGAGAGCCAAUUCUAGCCAAGAUGCUAG
rnacentral:lncRNA from 1 species